rnacentral:rRNA from 1 species
UACGAGGGGGGCGAGCGUUGUUCGGAAUUAUUGGGCGUAAAGGGUGCGUAGGCGGUUCCGCAAGUCCUGUGUGAAAUCUUCGGGCUCAACUCGAAGUCUGCACGGGAAACUGCGGGGCUUGAGUGUGGGAGAGGUGAGUGGAAUUCCCGGUGUAGCGGUGAAAUGCGUGGAUAUCGGGAGGAACACCUGUGGCGAAAGCGGCUCACUGGACCAUAACUGACGCUGAUGCACGAAAGCUGGGGGAGCAAACAGG